UGCUCUUUAAAGAAGAUAAUAUUAUUUUUAUUAAAUAUUACCUUUUGCAUAAUGGAUUUAUAAUAAUUCUAGAAAAUUUUCUGAUCACGAAAUGAUAGGAUCUAAUAUUUUUUAAAUUAUAGUUUAGUGUUUGUUUGUGGCAAUAACCCUGAUAAAAAAUAUAUUAGUUGUGAAAGGCUAUCCAACUAUCAUGAUAUCUUGAUUUCUUUGAAAAGUAUUUAGUACUAAAAUCAAGUUUUCUGUGAUUAGGCAUAAAACUUUGUAAUAGUUUUUUAUAAUGAGAAGUAUUCUAGUUUUAAAUAAUCAGAAUGUGAAGAAACAAAUCAUUAAUAAAUAAAUUUACAUUAACAUAUAGAAGAAAACAUGUUAAAGCUAUGUAUUAUGUUUAUAAUGUAAGUAUAAGUAGUUAAAAAAAAUUAAACUAAAUGAACUCGGCAAAACUUUCUUUCAACUGUUUACCAAAAACAUAGUUUAUUGCUUUUUAUAAUAAAUUAUUCCUGCUCCAUGAUAAUUUUAAAUAGCCGCAGUACCCUGACUGUGCUAAGGUAGCAUAAUAAUUUGUCUUUUAAUUGAAGUCUUGAAUGAAUGGAUUUAUGAAGGGAAAACUUUAUUUGGUUUAGAAAACUAAUUUAUUUAGUAAGUGCAAAUUCUUACAAUAUUAAUAUUAGACGAGAAGACCCUAAGAGUUUAGAUAAAUAGUUGAAUCUUAUAAAGCCGUAUCAUUAGGGCUUAUUAUAAGUAGACUAUAAUAUUUAGCUGGGGCGGCUACUUAUCAUUUAGUAACAUAAGUAUAAUUAGUCAUUCAUAAAGAAUUUUUUACAUUUGAAUAAACUACCUUAGGGAUAACAGCAUAAUAUUUAAUAUGAUUGUGACCUCGAUGUUGGACUAGGUAAAUAUAAAGAUUAGAAGUCUUAAUUAUUUGUUCUGUUCGAACAUUUUUACCUACAUGAUCUGAGUUCAGACCGGCGUAAGCCAGGUCAGAUUCUAUCUUUUUAGUUAAUAGUAUAGUACGAAAGGAAAUA
rnacentral:rRNA from 1 species